GAUUGGACCGCGUUAGGGAUAGAAGUGGCAUCCUUUUUUGAGGUACGAUAAAAAGAUAUAACGGAUAGCCCGACCCCGC
rnacentral:sRNA from 1 species